GUGGGGAAUCUUCCGCAAUGGACGAAAGUCUGACGGAGCGACGCCGCGUGAGUGAAGAAGGCCUUCGGGUCGUAAAGCUCUGUCAUCAGGGACGAACGGCCGGUGGAGUGGAAAGCCACCGGAUUGACGGUACCUGAGAAGGAAGCCACGGCUAACUACGUGCCAGCAGCCGCGGUAAUACGUAGGUGGCAAGCGUUGUCCGGAAUUAUUGGGCGUAAAGCGCGCGCAGGUGGGAUCUUAAGUCCAUUUUUAAAGUUCGGAGCUCAACUCCGUGAUGGGAUGGAAACUGGGAUUCUUGAGUACCGGAGAGGAAAGCGGAAUUCCCCGUGUAGCGGUGAAAGGCGUAGAUAUGGGGAGGAACACCAGUGGCGAAGGCGGCUUUCUGGACGGUGUCUGACACUGAGGCGCGAAAGCCAGGGGAGCGAACGGGAUUAGAUACCCUUGUAGUCC
rnacentral:rRNA from 1 species